CCUUUUCGGAGGUACUCGAGUGGCGAACGGGUGAGUAACACGUGGGUGAUCUGCCCUGCACUUCGGGAUAAGCUUGGGAAACUGGGUCUAAUACCGGAUAGGAACCAUCUUUAGUGUGGUGGUUGGAAAGUUUUUUCGGUGUAGGAUGAGCUCGCGGCCUAUCAGCUUGUUGGUGGGGUAAUGGCCUACCAAGGCGGCGACGGGUAGCCGGCCUGAGAGGGUGUACGGCCACAUUGGGACUGAGAUACGGCCCAG
rnacentral:rRNA from 1 species